CGUCGCUGUUAGCACCCAGCACGAGUUCUCUCCGGAGGGGUGCAGAACUAACCCACGGACGGAGGAGAGAAGAUACGAUCCCAAGAAAGCCCAAGUGAAGAGUCUUAAGCAACUUGGAUGAAAUUUUAUUUUAGAUCUGAACUUCCUGGACUUGGAUGUUAGUGAUGAUGGCUCAGGACAUUUCAAAGCCGCAGUUUAUUUAAUUGGUUUUAAAUGUCAUUUUAAGUGAGUACUUUAGAGAGUUCAAGCAGACAAUAAAAUAUAUGCUUCUUGUUAAAAUUGAAUAAAAGACGAUUUCAUUUGUAUAA